AGCAUACAAGGCAUACGGCUCAGUAACGCGUAGUCAACCUAACCUAUGGACGGGAAUAACCUCGGGAAACUGAGAAUAAUGCCCGAUAGAACAUUAUGCCUGGAAUGGUUUAUGUUCCAAAUGAUUUAUCGCCGUAGGAUGGGACUGCGGCCUAUCAGUUUGUUGGUGAGGUAAUGGCCCACCAAGACUAUUACAGGUACGGGCUCUGAGAGGAGUAGCCCGGAGAUGGGUACUGAGACACGGACCCAGGCCCUAUGGGGCGCAGCAGGCGAGAAAACUUUGCAAUGUGCGAAAGCACGACAAGGUUAAUCCGAGUGGUUUCUGCUAAAGAAACCUUUUGUCAGUCCUAGAAACACUGAUGAAUAAGGGGUGGGCAAGUUCUGGUGUCAGCCGCCGCGGUAAAACCAGCACCUCAAGUGGUCAGGAUGAUUAUUGGGCCUAAAGCAUCCGUAGCCGGCUCUGUAAGUUUUCGGUUAAAUCUGUACGCUCAACGUACAGGCUGCCGGGAAUACUGCAGAGCUAGGGAGUGGGAGAGGUAGACGGUACUCGGUAGGAAGGGGUAAAAUCCUUUGAUCUAUUGAUGACCACCUGUGGCGAAGGCGGUCUACCAGAACACGUCCGACGGUGAGGGAUGAAAGCUGGGGGAGCAAACCGGAUUAGAUACCCGGGUAGUCCCAGCUGUAAACUAUGCAAACUCAGUGAUGCAUUGGCUUGUGGCCAAUGCAGUGCUGCAGGGAAGCCGUUAAGUUUGCCGCCUGGGAAGUACGUACGCAAGUAUGAAGCUUAAAGGAAUUGGCGGGGGAGCACCACAAGGGGUGAAGCCUGCGGUUCAAUUGGAGUCAACGCCGGA
rnacentral:rRNA from 1 species